UACGUAGGGUGCAAGCGUUGUCCGGAAUUAUUGGGCGUAAAGAGCUCGUAGGCGGUUUGUCGCGUCUGCCGUGAAAGUCCGGGGCUCAACUCCGGAUCUGCGGUGGGUACGGGCAGACUAGAGUGAUGUAGGGGAGACUGGAAUUCCUGGUGUAGCGGUGAAAUGCGUAGAUAUUGGGAAGAACACCUGAGGCGAAGGCGGGUUGCUGGGCCGACACUGACGCUGAGGCGCGAAAGCCAGGGGAGCAAACGGGG
rnacentral:rRNA from 1 species